AGUGUGUAUACAUAUUUUUGACACACCCUGUAUAUAAAGAUGGAAAAAAUCAGUACUCUACGUAUUUUCUGCUCUACAGAAAUGUUCAUAGGACAUCCAGCUUUGUUUAAAAAUUUGUCACACUUGGGACUCAAACCCAGGCUCCCUGAAAGGCAGGUUGAGUUAUUGAAGUGUGAGAGAUGAAUCUUGAGGGCAGUAACAUUGAUAACGAAGCAGAAUUUGGACUGUACAAAACAGAAAGUGAUGGAUCUGAUCAGUUUGGAGAUAUAACAGAAGAACUUAACUUUUGGCACUCAUGUAGAAUAUGUGGUGAUGUUAAAGAUGACAUGGUAUCUAUAUAUGAUCAGACAGGAAUUGAACUUCAACUUGAAGAAAAAAUUAAUAAUUACCUUCCUAUUACGGUACUGUCCAAGAGUAAUUUAUUGGUAUAUGUACAUUCUUUUAGAGGUUAACACUACUUUAUACCUAUAUGCCAAUUAAAUAACAUAAAAAGUAGUUUUAUAUACUUAGGAGGUUCCCAAAUAGAUGACAUAUUAAAGGUCGUAAGAGGAUACUGAACUUACUUUUUUUUUCAAAUGACUUUUAUUUUACAUGCAUUUACUCUCAAACCAGCUUAAAUUUAAAUUAAUAGUUUGAAACACAUUAAUGAAGAGUUAAGAAGCAAAUGUGGCUGUUCAGUGGUGGUCUUCUAUUGUCAGUCUGAAUGUCAGAUAUUAUGGCUUUUCUAUAAUUUUUGUGGGGACAUAUAGAAGUUUUAAUUUCUGAGAUUGCUGCCAAAAUUUACAAUACCUCUGCUGCUAGUAUUAUUUCAACUGUUGAAGAUAUAUAAUAGCCAUCCAGUAUGGUUAAGCAAGAGCCACAGUUAAUAACAAGAAACUGAGAUGUCUGAAUGUACAAGGUGAUCAACAUUUCAGUAUAUUUAAAAGAAGUUAUUUAAUUGUUACAUUUGCUAUUACUUAAUGGUAGUAUAAAAUUUAAAUAAAAACAUUCUUAAUCAAAAUAUCCACAGGUGUGCUGCCGGCCUAUAGUGCCCGUUGGACACUAUAGACCGGCAGCACACCCGUGGAUAUUUUGAUUAUCAAAUACGCCAGGAGAAACUCAAGAAUCACAAAAAAAUUCUUGUUGCAGUAGGUCUCUGCAUAACUACAACUUACUGCUGAAUUACUUACUUAUUUACUUACUUCCCCUUAUGUAUAGGCUUGUAGCCUUACUGCUUAAAGUACAUUGAUUUACUUCUUGAGUGUCACAUAUAGGUCUUCUUGUUUCACAAUUUCUUUCCUUAAAUCAAGCAAAGAACUGAAUAAUUGUAGAACUUGAGACCUAAAGAACAGUCAGGUUUUACACCAGGAAAGUCAUGUACUACUCAGGUACUUAAUUUAACCCAGCAGAUCAAGAAAGGAUAUAAAAGAGAGCAGAUGCAGAAGUUGCCUUUAUCAGUAUUGUGUAUGUAACUAUGUAUCAUAAGAAACUGACAAAGAAGCUGUACACAGCAACUUAAGACAGCCAAAUGAUACGAUUUGCUCAGUUUUUGCUACAGAACACAUAAUUUUUUUAAUCAGUCUAAAUGACAAAAUGUGUUGGUGGAAAAUGUGGAAGAAUGGCCUUCCCCAUGGAAAUGUGCUGGCUCUGAUAUUUUAUGACAUAUAUACCAAUGAUCAGCCACGCAACACUGGAACCCAGUCUUUCAUCUAUGCCUUUGACACAGCUGCCACGGCCCAGGGAGUGACAUUUGAAGAAGCAGAAGCCAAGAUAACAUCUGCUUUUGAAAAACUUACUGUCUACUAUGAUGAUAACACUUGGAAGCUAAUCCAAGUACUACUUAAGUGUGCAGGUUCCACCUACACAAUAAGUAGACAAAAAAAGAAAAAGAAAAGCUGAACAUCACUGUGUUAGUCCUGUAAAGGAACACCUUCCUCUAGCAUUACUUAUCUUCAACAGAAUUACCGAUACCAAAAAUACUUUCUACUUUUUAAACAGGUUAAUAUUACCUCAGCUGUUUAACUAAAAGAAUUUAAUACGAAUUUGUAUUUGAUCUGUUAUAUUUCAGGCUCAAAUGUGCAAGAAUAAAUUGCGUUAUUUGCUUUGUUACAAUCAAUAUGUGCUAACUCUGUAUCUACAGUUAAAAUUACUCUUCUUUUAGAAACAUUUGAAAUUACAAACUAUUAAGCAUACUCAAAAUUGCUAUUAUUAACUGCACAAUCUGGCACUAAUUAUUAAAUUUAUUUUUGGAUUUAUUAAUAAAAUAAUGACAUAAACUGGUUGAUAUUCAUUUGUCAAGAAAAUUUGUAAACUCUUUGGAAUAUUGUUAGUACCGCAGAAUGAAGUGGUUGUCGGCAUGCCUUUGAAGUGAUCGGACAUGUUUUUAAUUUUGACAAUAACAGUGUAAUUUUUAAUUUAAAAGUGGAGCUUAUAUACACAGUGUGUUAUAAAAAAUGUGACAUAAUAAAAAUUACAGAAGCAGAAAUUACGGAGCAGGCUUACUUCAACAUUAUCAUGUCAUUUGGAACCUACAAAAUAAAAAAUUUCAGCCUCAAGAAUCAACCCCUAGACGUGAAGAACUGGAGCUGACUAUGAGAAAAGAAGAUAAUUAAAAAAAGUUAUUUGUAAAUCUUACUCCUCUUGAAACUUAUUAAAGGAAUCACUCAAGAAGUGAGUGACUAUCUACAGGUAAUGUGAGGGAGUGUAAGAUUACUACCCCUAAUACCCAGGGUUAAAAUUGGAUUGUGCCUUUACUUACAAACAACUCUGUGCAGGUACAAUAUGAGAAGUACCCACUAGAAACAAUCUCAUCUGCAAACCUGUGAACACCAUGUCGGGGGUGCAGCCAAGCAUCCUUUACAUAUUGGCUCUUGCUUUUUGUCUCUCUCCUGCAGAGACUGAAAAGAAUAAGAAGCAAGAAACAGACCCAAGGAGUCCAUUAUUCAGAACUCGCACUUCUCCAUCACAGCUGAAAUCCAGAAAAAGCUUCCUCCUUACAACAGCACUGAUUCCAACUUCACCAGAAGCCUGCCAAACUAAUCUGUGCAGAACAUAGUUCCUUGGAGCUUUAUAGACAGUAAAAGAGGACCUAUAGUCAGGCUACCAUUCCUAAUAGGGGACUCAACAGAUUGGGUACAGGGCCAACAUGUUGACUCUUUUGAAGAUAUCGGAUGUCAGUGGUGAUGAGCUUUAUGAAUGUUGGGUAAGACUGGUCUCUGAAUACUGUUGGUUUGCAGUAAUCCAAGUUAAACUUGUGACAUGGAAGAUCUGUUCACAGCAGAUGAUCAUGCUGUACUGGCUACUGAACAGUGGAAUCACAAAGUGGGACAUUCUCUCAAUCAUUAAUAUUAGCUUGUAGUCUUAGGAUUACAGUUUUAUUGUGUUUUUCUGGCCUUGAACAAAUAAAGAAACAAAUAAAAGCUUUUUGAAC